GUGCAGGACGGGUUCCGCAGUCCGCACACCUCCCUAUGGCCCCCCUGCUCCAUUGCCCCCGUUUGCCAUUUCCUCUGUAGUUGUUCCACGAACCACACGCCGCCGGCUGCCGCGCGCCGGAGUUAGAACCGCGAGCGCAGCCGCAUCCGCAGCCGCGAGCGCCGCCGCCGCAGUCACGGCCGGCGCCGCCACAGCCGUCGCUCCCCGCCCUUCCCGCGCGGUCCGCCAUCCGCCGCCCACCUACGCACCCCUGCUACUACUAACGCUAGCUUGCCAAUGCGUGCGAGGGAGAGGAUUAGCCUGCAGGGGCAUCUCCGCUUCAUGUCGAAAGGCCCAGCAACGGCGGCAGAGCCUAGCUCUGCUUCAUAUGGCUCACGUAUCUCUUGUGUAUUCUCUACUUUUACGUGCUGCAAGCCUUCAACUCCAUGAUUUACAAAAUAGAGAUUCCUAAAUCUUCUAAACUCUACAGUCUUAGCUUGCAACUGUAUUCAUUAGAUCUAGAUUUAAUUUAGUACUCUUACUAUUUGAAUCUUGCUAGAUGUUCCUUUCAUUCUUCCACUGUUUCUACCCUUCUGGCCUGCAGCGUUAUGUUACUGUUAUUUGUUCCUCUUUUACAAUCUAUAGCUUUGCAGAAUAAAAUUUCUAUUUCUUUGUAGUGCCUUUUUCCCAAUACUGAGACUUACAGUCCCCUUACUACUGGAUUUAAUCUUGAUCUCACAAACUGAUGCAUUCAAAUUUUUUAUUCCCAUAGAUUCUAUGCAGCCUGUCAGCUUUCAUUUGUAUUGAUCCUUCUUCACUACACAUGGCAGCCCCUAGAUACUUACCCAUCGCACACAUCGGGGCAACAGAACUAAUUACAAAGGAUAGGCAGAGCUUCAGAAUGCCCUUGUGACCACACCAGUACCUCCUCCUGCGUCUAAACCACUGAUAAAAGGCAUCUAUAUUGCUAUCCAAAAUACAUGUGGUUCACAACUCUAGCCAAAAAACAUUUCAUGCUUCCCACCAGAUUUCAUCCUUGAGUUCGCAAUGCCGAACCAACGAGACAUGGUUCUUUCUUACAGAACCAUGGAACUUCAAACUUAACCUCUCACCUUGGACAAAUCAAUAUCGAUCCCAGAUAAUUCCAUGGAAUACCCCUGUGACAAUUAACAUGGAAGGUAUUCCCCCCACAUGCCUUCAGUAAUGAAUCUUCAGGGCCUCUGCUAUUACCUUAUUGUGACAUACAAGCUUCUGCAUUUGAUCACAGCACUGGCAUAUGCACUGCAAUUACCUUUGCACAUAGCACAGACUUCAUUCCUACUGCCCAACAGCUAGGCAUAUCAUAUAACCAUCAGCACAGCACAACUGCACAUGCAUUUCCAGUAGCAUUGCAAACCAGCGCCUACUAUCAAUCCGAGCACAGCAAUGGUGCAAAGUAGGCUCCAGACCCUUCCAUAUGCACUGAUGUACAUGAUUCUUCAACAAAUUACGACCCAAAGAUCUAUGAGGACCCAGACAUGGUUAGAGAAGCUUUCAAGCGUAUCGUUGAAGGUAUGUUUCUAACUAUAUAAAUCAUUUGUUCAUCAAUUCUACUAAUUAUAACCUCUGAAAUAUAUUAUUACCUCCUACUUAUUC